AGUGAACGCUGGCGGUAGGCCUAACACAUGCAAGUCGAACGGCAGCACAGUAAGAGCUUGCUCUUACGGGUGGCGAGUGGCGGACGGGUGCGGAAUACAUCGGAAUCUACUUUUUCGUGGGGGAUAACGUAGGGAAACUUACGCUAAUACCGCAUACGACCUACGGGUGAAAGCAGGGGAUCUUCGGACCUUGCGCGAUUGAAUGAGCCGAUGUCGGAUUAGCUAGUUGGCGGGGUAAAGGCCCACCAAGGCGGCGAUCCGUAGCUGGUCUGAGAGGAUGAGCAGCCACACUGGAACUGAGACACGGUCCAGACUCCUACGGGAGGCAGCAGUGGGGAAUAUUGGACAAUGGGCGCAAGCCUGAUCCAGCCAUACCGCGUGGGUGAAGAAGGCCUUCGGGUUGUAAAGCCCUUUUGUUGGGAAAGAAAAGCAGCAGGUUAAUACCCCGCUGUUCUGACGGUACCCAAAGAAUAAGCACCGGCUAACUUCGUG
rnacentral:rRNA from 1 species